AGCAAGUUUUCUUUACCAACUCUGAUUUUUCUCCAGCAAAUCGAGUAUUGGCGUCGAAGUAUGUAAGUGAUGGAGAGAUUGUUCUAGAAAGAUUUUAAAAUCAGCAGAAAAACUUGGAUCUAGGGUUUCUGUUAGCGAUAAAAGUGUUUUGAAUGUUUAAUCGAGGGUUCUGAUUACUGUCUAGUACUCCAUUCAUUGAAGACAUCUACUAAUUUGCUUCGGCUAAAAUCACCUUCACCUUCCACAAACACACACACAGAGCUCCCUCUCCGCCAUAAACCCUAGAAAACCAAAAAUUACCUGCAAUUUCGUAGCCGAGAAGGAAGAAAAAUUCCAAUCAAAGAUGUCUUCAUCAAAGAAGAACCAUUACAAAGAGAAGAUGAUGAAUCGCAAAAAGGAGAAAGAUAGAGGAGGUGAAGAGAAACCAGAACAGCCUGAAUUGCCGAAAUACCAAGACAGAGCUAAAGAAGGAAGAGAAGAUCAGAAUCCUGAUUAUGAAGCAUCUGAAUUGGGUUCCUUUCGUGUUGUUGCUCCUCCUGAUGCUGUUGAUCUUAGACAUGAAGAUGCUAUGAAGAUAUCGAUCGAGAAUUCGAAGUAUCUCGGAGGUGAUGUGUAACAUACACAUUUGGUGAAGGGAUUGGAUUAUGCGUUACUUAACAAGGGAGGUGAAAUCUAUGAUGCAAUGCUGAACCAAACAAAUCUCUCAGACAAUAAUAAAUCAGACGGUGGUGGAGAUUUCAUAGUUUUCACUAGAUGGGGUCGAGUUGGAGUUAAAGGACAGAACAAGUUACAGGGACCUUUCACCUCCAGAGAUGAAGCUAUUCAGGAAUUUGAAGAAAGAUUUUAUGCAAAGACAAAAUCUGUGGUCUGAGCGCAAGAAUUUUGUUUGUCAGCCGAAACCUUACACUUGGUUGGAAAUGGAUUACGAAGAAACCGAAAGUGAAUCAGUUGUAAGUUUAUCUCAGUAUGAUGCAGCAACGGAUGAUUGAAAUAGGAUACGACGCUGAAAAGUUGCCUCUUGGUAAGCUAAGCAAAUCAACCAUUUUUAAGGGAUAUAAUGCAUCAGUGCCAAGCGUGAUAGGAAAACACUUGAGCAAUUGACUGGGCUGAUGUUGUGCUUGCUUUUAUCGGGUGGGGUGUUUUACUGAGUUUGUUGUUGGUGGUGUCCAGAUUUGCGAAGGAAGAGCAUGCUGUGACUAUUCGUACCGCGACUGCAAAGUCAGUGUAUCAAUGGAUUGUCAAGCCACGGACUACUGUCAAGUUGAAUAAGAUGUUUCUUCCUGGUCGAAUGUCAUUUAUCUUCAACAUGGUUCCCUAUAGUGGGUCAUGGAAUUACAACAUUAACGGAGUGAAGCAUAACACUAAUCUGAUGUGUGGGAUAAAGCUGGGAUCGAUGGUGACACUGAGAAUAUCAGCUUGUUUGGUGGGAUACCUUCUCUAUCACGAAAGGGUUUGAAUCUCCUAUGGCAUGGAAGUCGCCUUGGCUUAUGAACUAUAUAUGAACUGAUUGGCAUCUGAUUGUUGCUUUUCAAUGCUGUAAGUUUUAUAAGUUACAAUGUAGGAUGUUUCUAUGAACUCAGCAAAUUUUUUAACUUAAUAUUUGAUACUUCCAAGAAUUUUGGUACUUGGAAGAAUUUAUGUUCCUUGAUUGAAAGUUAUAUGGAUUAAGUAAUUAACCGAGUCUGAUUAUAUGAAUGUGACGCGACUGUGAUGGAAUGAAAAGGGAAGGCAAGUUAUUGGAA